rnacentral:antisense_RNA from 1 species
GAGGCCCCGUGAGGACACGCGCGGUGGUGGCGGUGGCGGCGGGCGCGCGGCCGCAGCCGGAGGAGGACGGCGGGAGCGUGCGAGGAGCCGGCUUGGUUAUUUCGGAGCGAGAGCCGAGGCCGGGGGAAGUUCCUGCGGAGUGCACAAGGGCAGAAGAGGUGCCGCGUCCCGAAGAGGGGAAGUGGAGAAGUUUUCUCCUGCUCGGGUCGCCUCGCGACGCUGGGAGAAUCGCCCAGCCUUCUGCAACCGCCCAGCGAGAACCGGAGCUGCGGCCCCGCACCGGCGUGGGUCCAGCUGAGCUGACACGCCGAGCCGGUUGUGCCUUUCCGAGGGAGGAACGUGCCGUGGAAUCCACUCAAACUUUGGAAAACGCCCCACCCGAAUUCCCACCGAGCAGCAAGGAGACCAGAGCGUUGAUGGAGCCACUGUUAGUUGCGGGAGGGCUGUCCCCAAGAGGAAUUCAUCACUGUCGUCCGCUGGGAGGGACCAACCUUGAAAUGGGGUUGGUGGAGAGAGGGAUGGAGAAGAGCCGGCCUGCUUGUAAAUAACAAGACUUAGCUAUGAACCCUUCCGAUUCCCAAGUGGGGAAGAUGGGGUAAAAUUCUAAGUGACUUCUCGCUCCGAAGAGGGAUACCACAAAAAGCGGAGCGCAGGGCACUUGGCUUAUAAUAAGCCAUCAGUAAUUUUUGGGUGAAAUUGAGAGCCAAAUAUAAGAUGAUAAACUGAAGAAUAAAAACAGCUGACAAAUACUGAAUAGAAAAGAUUGCGUUGGAAUCAUAACUGUGGAUUGGAAGUGAUGUUAAGGAUUAUUGAAUUGAGUAUUUGUAGCUGAAUUUCUGCUGGCAUUUCUACCAGUGGGGAAAGCCCUCACAGCUCCCUAGGUAAUUUUUGUUAGGGGAGGAAGAGGUGUUGUUCUGUCACCCACCCCCGUGCAAAGAGUCGCUGAUCUAAUUCCCCAUUUCUUUCUUUUUUUUCUUUUCUUUCUUUCUUUCUUCUUUUUUUUUUUUUUUUUGGAGGCGGAGUUUCGCUCUUGUUGCCCGGGCUGGAGUGCAGUGCAGUGCUGCGAUCUCGGCUCACUGCAGCCUCCACCUCCCGGGUUCAAGGGAUCCUCCUGCCUCAGCCUCCCAAGUAGCUGGGAUUACAGGCGCACGCCACCGCGCCCGGGUAAUUUUUGUAUUUUUAGUAGAGACGGGGUUUCACCCUGUUGGCCAGGAUGUUCUUGAACUCCUGACCUCAAGUGAUCCGCCCGCCUUGGCCUCCAAAAGUGCUGGGAUUACAGGCGUGAGCCACCAAGUCCUGCCUAAUUUCCUUUUUAUAGUUGAGGAAAGCUAGUAACUUGCCUGAAGUCUCAUAUAUUAGAGCUGUGAUGGAAGUUUUUAAGUGUCUCAAUUCUGCAGCUAUUCGUUUUUCUAUCAUAUCACUGUUUGGCAUAUAUAUAGCAUAGCAGGAAAAGGAAAGGCUGGAAAUUAGUUGACCACACACUGAUUAAGCUUGAAACAUUUCUACUGGAGAAAAAAAGUUACUGUAAUUUUGGCAUAGGCAUCACAUAUUGCUGGAGUGGAGAGACCCAUGCACUCAGGUCCUGCUUUCUAUAAGCUGUGACCUGGGGCCAGUCACUCCAUUUCUCCUGAACUAGAUCACUGAUGAGCUGUUGAAAGAAAAAUUAUGGAUAGUAAUGCCUUAAUUACCUCACAGAGGUUUUACAAGGAGCAAAAAGACGAUAUAUUUUUAAAUGUACUUUGUAGGUGUGUGUUGUCGAGACAAUACAGCAGUGAAGAGAAGGCACGCAAAGCUAUCUUGUUGGAGUCUGGCUAGAGAGCACCAAAGCAGCCUGGUGUGGGAUGUCUUCUGGGGGCCACCUGGCCUUGCUAUGUUAACAUGGAGGGACUAGGCAGGGGUAUGAAGAAGGCGCAGAGCAGAGGAGGAGGCAGCAGCAACAAUGAGAGAUUGGUUAUCCAUAUGACUUGGAUCUGUGUCCCCAUCCAAAUCUCAUGCUGAAUUGUAAUCCCCAAUGUUGGAGGUGGGGACUGGUGGGAGGUGACUGUAUCAUGGGGGUGGAUUUCUUAUGAAUGGUUUAGUGCCAUCCAUUUGGUAUUGUCCCCGUGGUAAUGAGUGAGUUCUCAAGAAAUCUGGUCAUUGAAAAAUAUGUGGCACCUCCUCCCUCUCUCUUUUGCUCCUGCCCCGGCCAUGUGAUGCAGUUUGUCUUCAGCCAUGAUUAUAAGUUUCCUGAGGCCUCCCCAGAAGCUGAGCAGAUGCCAGCAUCAUGCUUUCUGUACAGCCUGCCUUCCAUGAGCCAAUUAAACUUCUUUCCUUUACAAAUUA